ACCUCCAAAAUUCUGUAAAGAAGCCCUUUGAUGGAAACAAACCUGGAAAUCAUAUGGGUAUGGAACAUAGAGUCCAAUAACAUGAGCCCGUGAGCCCAGAAACAGUGUAUAUACCCAAAAACGGUGUAUAUGCCCAAAAAAACCCUGUAGCAAUAUCCGGUAGCAUAAGAAAUUCUCAUUAAAUCAAGACCCAAAAUAAUGUCGAGCUACGUGCCACCAGAAAUCAUAACCGGAAUUCUCUCCAAAUUAGGCAUCCAAACGCUCCUACGCUUGUAUAUUUGUGUCAAAACAAUGGCGUUCUUUGAUGGGCAGCAGUGCUUGCAUCAAGAUCCACAUGAACAAUUCGAUCAAAACCAACACAAACAACGCCCUUUCCGUCUGAGAUAAAAAUGGCCGCCUUUUCUCAGUUGAUUUUGACGCUCUUAGUCCUGGACACAACCCAGUCACCUUGGGAGAAAACCCCCGGAUGACAAUCCCAAACCAAAAUGUUCACUUGAUAGGUUCUUGUAAUGGUUUAUUUACAAACCGCCUACGCAAGUGGUGCCGUUUUUGUAUGUAAUCCAUGGGUAAAGGAAUAUAAAGAGAUAACAUUUUUUUUCCCAUGAAUUUUUAAUAAUCUUGGUUUGCUUGUCUCAGGUAAAGAUAGGGCUUUCGGAAGAGCAUAUGGGGUUGGUUACGAUUCCAUUUCUAACGACUAUAUCAUCUCCACCAGAUGCUAAUGUGGAAGAAUCUGAAAUGAUAAUAUAUAGCGCAAAGAAAUAUUUGUCCUGUUUUAUUAAGAUGCCUUAUUUUUUAGGACUGGUCAUUAAAUGGGUGUUUAUGUUAGGGGAGCAUUGCAUUGGAUUGCUAGUAGGUUUGAUGAUUUUAGAUGUUGUCCUACAAUGAUUGUUGGUUUUGAUCUUGGAGUUGAUGGGUUUAGAGAGUUGCCGCAGCCAGAUUAGGGGGGGGGUAUGUCUGGUUUGGAUAUAGGUGUGUUGGGUGGUUGCUUGUGCGUUUGUGCUCAUUUUGAAAAUGUGGGUGUUGAUGUUUGGGUUAUGAAAGAAUAUGGGGUUGGGGAAUCUUGGAAUAAGGUGUUUUCGAUUUCGAGUAGGGUUCUUUGUUAUGAUUAUCUGAGACCUUUUGGUUAUUCAAAGAAAGGUAAGGCUGUUUUGUUGGCAUUGGAUAUGAAAAGGCUUGUCUGGUACGAUACAGAGAAGAAAGGAGUUGUCGAUUUUGUGAUUGAAGGAUGGAAGGAGGGGAAGUUCGAAACAAUUUUAUGUUUGAAUAGCCCUUUUUCGACCGAAGCUGGAAAGGAAGACAGUGAAGAAGAGGUUGAAGGAAAGGAGGACAGUGAAGAAGAGGUUAUGUAUCAUUUCUUCAUUUGGAAAAUGUUUGCAGAUGAUGAGCACAUACUUGUUAUAAUAAGCAUUCAGUAUCUUUUGUAUGCAAUGCUUCCAAGAAUAGAAUUUGCUAUAAUUCCUUCUACAAUUUAUUGCAAUUAGGGCAAUCCAAUAGUAUUCUUAUCUGAGAAUUUGAGAUUUAACUUAAUCUUAAUGAUAAAUGAAUAGCCUGUUGUGCCAUAAUUGCUCAUUAUUUUAACCUUAUUCCUUUAAGGGAUGAUUUCCUCUCAACAGGCUUCAAGCUCAUAUUGUAGGAAACAAGGAUCAAACAUGCUAAAGAGGUGACUGGAAGAUAUUUGCUAAAACGUGUAAAAUUGAAGCUUACUUUUGCUACUUUUCUCAAGCAUGAGUUAAUUCUCAGGUGAAUAAUCUGAACUAUGCUGGAAUUUAUACAGGUCCAUAAUGCAUUGUGGACUUGCAGUGUUGAAAUCAAAUGCAUGAUUGGGGGAGAGACGAGGGUAAAGUACAUUUCCAGUUAGUGUUUUUGUUUUCCUGGCAAGAGGUACUGUGGGAUGCAAUCUGAAUACAAUAGUCGUGCCUUUCGUGGUAUGCAAUCUUUAUCAUGCUUGGAUAUGUUGAAUUAUUAGCUAUAGUCCUCUGAAAGUGUAUUAAAACUAUUACUACUAACUAGUUCAAACUUUUUCUUGUAGAAAGUCUUGAUCUUAUCUCACUAUACAGUGUGACAUCGUUUUCCUUGUAAGCAGAAACUUUCUUGCUAUUACAGUGUUGGAUUGGUUCCGUUUCACUU